rnacentral:snRNA from 8 species
AUCGCUUCUCGGCCUUUUGGCUCAGAUCAAGUGUAGUAUCUGUUCUUAUCAGUUUAAUAUCUGAUACGUCCCCCAUCGGGGGACUACAUAUUAAAUGGAUUUUUCGAACAGGGAGUCGGAAAUGGGGCUUGCUCCGUCAGCUCCACGCAUCGACCCGGUAUUGCAGUACCUCCGGGAACGGUGCAACACUU